GGUGCUUUGGCUCAGUUGGUAGAGCACAUCGUUCACAUCGAUGGGGUCACUGGUUCGAGUCCAGUAAGCACCA
rnacentral:tRNA from 2 species